UUAUAUCCUAUUUACAUUUGUGUGAGAUAAUUCAGUGUAUCCAUAAAUUAGUGCUGAACAUCGGUUUGUUUUAUGGAAGCGUUGAAUAAUCUCCAGCUCAUGUAUAUUCAUCUCUCAUUCCAGAAGGUAGGAGAGUGAGCCUUGGGAAAUGGCAAGAGAACCAUCCAGCUUCAUCUUAGGUAAAGAUAAGAAGAGUUAAGGGGAUCAUCCACCAUGGGUCACUAAGACUCCUAGGCAACCCCAUACAGGUGCACAUAGAGAAGGUAGCCAAAAAACCUGCCCACAAAAGGCCCCAUUGCUCUGCCUGCCCUGCUUUGAAUAUGCCUGGACAAGAACCAUGGGAUGGAACCCAUCAAAGGGGAAAUAAAACAGGCCUGGAUAAAAUAGGGUCAUUUUUUUUGUUUUCAAGUUUCCUGUGUUUAAAAGAGCAAAGAUUCAUGUGGCAGAGCCUGAAGACAAACUGCUUCAAAGAGCAAUUUUAAUUGAAAUGAUAAUGAUGAAAGUUUUGCAGCCAAAACUGAAAUAGGCAUUAUAAGCAUUCCCUCCUCCUACGAAGCAUGCCCACCAACAGCCAUAACAAAAAGAGUCGUCUUUCGUAGGAGCCCUUCCAUCACAGCCUAUGAGGGCUGCUUGUUUCCUGAGCCCGUGGAUCAUCCUUUUCACUAUGAAAAAAGCAAUAAGUGAGUGUAAUACUCAGCUGCUCCCUGGAUUUCUUAUGUUCUUCCUCUCCCCUUCUCUGGGCGCUGCUGCUGCACGUGCGGCUGCUCCCGCUCAGCGAGGUGCCGGCCUCGCACUAAUUCAUGCUGAUGUAUUUUAGCACAGCUCUGCAAUCCAUCACCAUCGCAGUGCUCGGGGUUGGGGCUGUGCCAUACAUCAUCAACACAACAGCCUCCCGUGGUGUACAGCGUGGCGUGCUGCCAGCCCAAUGGUGCACGGGGAGUCCCAGGCUGUAAGGGAUCCAAAGGGGUGACUUGCAGGGAGCUGAGCACUGCCUGGGGAGCAGGAGGUGAUGCACAGCACUGAGGUGCAGGAUUGAAGCCACACAGGUCCUGCAGCUGCAUCUGAACAGCAGGGAGCCUUCCCUAAGCAAUGGCUUUUAAAAGAUAACCCCAAAACCUCCCGGUUCCAGAAUGCUGUUUUCAUGGUACAUCCCCUUGCAACCUGUGAUUAUGCCCAGAGUGAUGGCCAGAUGAGAACGCACGUCACUCUUAUUAAUCAGUGCCGGGCAUUUGCUGCUGUCCUGCAAAGCUGGGAGAGAACAAAGCAGUGUUCAGCAGGUGGCCUUUGUGGGAACAAGUGUCUUUGAAAAGCACAGCGGAACAGAAAUGAGCACAGCUCUGAGUGCAGUGGAGCUGCUGUGCCAGCAGACAGGGAGCCUUAGCGCUUCCCAUUUGGGCUUCCCAUAGGAGUGCUCAGCCUGGGAGUGCUGAUGGAGAAGGAAAUGUUGGGGAGCAUCGACUUCUGAUCGCUCCUGUGCCAAGGCAGCCACAGGAGUGAGGGAAAGAGGCUGCCAUGACAAAGUGAUUAGAAGUAAUGAAUAAUAAGGUAUAAUUAGUCAGAAUAACCCCCAGCUCCUCAUCCCCCCAGUGCAGAGGGGUCCACACCAGUGCCCCUGCCCUGACCCUGCUCCUGCUGCCCUGGGCUGCCCCAUAGAGCUGGAGAGGGCUGCAGGCACACCAGGACCUUGCUGAGGAUCAGAGGUAGCCUCACUAAUUAUUUCUUCCAAUUACAUUUUAAUUAUGUAGAAUUAGCUAUAAUGCUUUAUCCUGCCAUGUGCUGUUUGUGGGCAAUACGUCAUGGCAGGGAUUUCUCCUCAGAAGAGAGAGCAGUUUGGGGAAAAAAAAAUAGCUGAAAGGAGUAGCCCUGUGAAAUCCACAGCUCCCAUGGAGUUGGCACAGCCACCCCCACACACCAGCCCCUGUAAGCCACCCCCAAUACGCUGCCCAUCUGCAGCACGGGGCACCAGGAGGAGCAGCUCUCAGUGCUGACUCUGACUUGCUGGUGUCAUAAAUCUUGUUAAUUUACUCAUAAAGCUGUCUUGCUCAUUUCCUGCAGGCUCGUCCUCGUGCUCUCGGUGAGUGGUGGUAACUUUUUCUAUUUUUGGUGAAUAAUUCUUCCAGAAUGACCUCAGACAGAUUUGAACGAACGGCAAUCAGGAGUGUGUGAACAGGAAUGGCUCCUGCCCAUCAAAAUAAAGCACCAAUUUAUG